CCAGAACUCGUCUAACACAAAGACCUCUAAUUUCGGCUUAGAAAAUCAUGGUUCACCACAUGGUUCUACA